AGAGUUUGAUCCUGGCUCAGGAUGAACGCUAGCUACAGGCUUAACACAUGCAAGUCGAGGGGCAGCAUGGUCUUAGCUUGCUAAGACUGAUGGCGACCGGCGCACGGGUGAGUAACACGUAUCCAACCUGCCGUCUACUCUUGGACAGCCUUCUGAAAGGAAGAUUAAUACAAGAUGGCAUCAUGAGUCCGCAUGUUCACAUGAUUAAAGGUAUUCCGGUAGACGAUGGGGAUGCGUUCCAUUAGAUAGUAGGCGGGGUAACGGCCCACCUAGUCUUCGAUGGAUAGGGGUUCUGAGAGGAAGGUCCCCCACAUUGGAACUGAGACACGGUCCAAACUCCUACGGGAGGCAGCAGUGAGGAAUAUUGGUCAAUGGGCGAGAGCCUGAACCAGCCAAGUAGCGUGAAGGAUGACUGCCCUAUGGGUUGUAAACUUCUUUUAUAAAGGAAUAAAGUCGGGUAUGCAUACCCGUUUGCAUGUACUUUAUGAAUAAGGAUCGGCUAACUCCGUGCCAGCAGCCGCGGUAAUACGGAGGAUCCGAGCGUUAUCCGGAUUUAUUGGGUUUAAAGGGAGCGUAGAUGGAUGUUUAAGUCAGUUGUGAAAGUUUGCGGCUCAACCGUAAAAUUGCAGUUGAUACUGGAUAUCUUGAGUGCAGUUGAGGCAGGCGGAAUUCGUGGUGUAGCGGUGAAAUGCUUAGAUAUCACGAAGAACUCCGAUUGCGAAGGCAGCCUGCUAAGCUGCAACUGACAUUGAGGCUCGAAAGUGUGGGUAUCAAACAGGAUUAGAUACCCUGGUAGUCCACACGGUAAACGAUGAAUACUCGCUGUUUGCGAUAUACGGCAAGCGGCCAAGCGAAAGCGUUAAGUAUUCCACCUGGGGAGUACGCCGGCAACGGUGAAACUCAAAGGAAUUGACGGGGGCCCGCACAAGCGGAGGAACAUGUGGUUUAAUUCGAUGAUACGCGAGGAACCUUACCCGGGCUUAAAUUGCAGAUGAAUUACGGUGAAAGCCGUAAGCCGCAAGGCAUCUGUGAAGGUGCUGCAUGGUUGUCGUCAGCUCGUGCCGUGAGGUGUCGGCUUAAGUGCCAUAACGAGCGCAACCCUUGUUGUCAGUUACUAACAGGUUCUGCUGAGGACUCUGACAAGACUGCCAUCGUAAGAUGUGAGGAAGGUGGGGAUGACGUCAAAUCAGCACGGCCCUUACGUCCGGGGCUACACACGUGUUACAAUGGGGGGUACAGAGGGCCGCUACCACGCGAGUGGAUGCCAAUCCCCAAAACCUCUCUCAGUUCGGACUGGAGUCUGCAACCCGACUCCACGAAGCUGGAUUCGCUAGUAAUCGCGCAUCAGCCACGGCGCGGUGAAUACGUUCCCGGGCCUUGUACACACCGCCCGUCAAGCCAUGGGAGCCGGGGGUACCUGAAGUGCGUAACCGCGAGGAGCGCCCUAGGGUAAAACUGGUGACUGGGGCUAAGUCGUGACAAGGUA
rnacentral:rRNA from 1 species